rnacentral:rRNA from 1 species
UACUAGAUGUCGGAUUUAUUCGGUGUCGCAGCAAACGCAUUAAGUAUUCCACCUGGGGAGUACGAUCGCAAGGUUGAAACUCAAAGGAAUUGACGGGGGCCCGCACAAGCAGUGGAGCAUGUGGUUUAAUUCGAUGCAACGCGAAGAACCUUACCUGGGCUUGAAAUGUGAUAGACCGGCAAUGAAAGUUGCCUUUCCUUCGGGACUGUUACACAGGUGCUGCACGGCUGUCGUCAGCUCGUGCCGUGAGGUGUUGGGUUAAGUCUCGCAACGAGCGCAACCCCUACCAUUAGUUGCCAUCAAGUUAAGUUGGGCACUUUAAUGGGACUGCCUACGCAAGUAGUGAGGAAGGUGGGGAUGACGUCAAGUCAGCAUGGCCCUUACGCCCAGGGCUACACACGUGCUACAAUGGGUACCACAACGGGUUGCCAAGCCGCGAGGUGGAGCUAAUCCCUUAAAGGUAUCCUCAGUUCGGAUAGGAGUCUGCAACUCGACUCCUUGAAGCCGGAAUUGCUAGUAAUCGCGUAUCAGCACGACGCGGUGAAUACGUUCCCGGGCCUUUGUACACACCGCCCGUCAAGCCAUGGAAGCCGGGGGUACCCGAAGUCAGUGACCCAACCGUAAGGA